AUCCUUUCGUGGUUCAUAAGUGUGAUGAUUGGGUGUUCACGCCUGUGUGUGACAUGUGCCUCCCUCCUGUUACAAUGCUAGCACAGCAGGCGUCUGAUG
rfam:Tupaia chinensis contig32779, whole genome shotgun sequence.